rnacentral:rRNA from 1 species
UAGGGAAUCUUCCACAAUGGACGCAAGUCUGAUGGAGCAACGCCGCGUGAGUGAAGAAGGUUUUCGGAUCGUAAUGCUCUGUUGUUGGUGAAGAAGGAUAGAGGUAGUAACUGGCCUUUAUUUGACGGUAAUCAACCAGAAAGUCACGGCUAACUACGUUCCAGCAGCCGCGGUAAUACGUAGGUGGCAAGCGUUGUCCGGAUUUAUUGGGCGUAAAGCGAGCGCAGGCGGAAGAAUAAGUCUGAUGUGAAAGCCCUCGGCUUAACAGAGGAACUGCAUCGGCAACUGUUUUUCUUGCGUGCAGAAGAGAAGAGUGGAAUUCCAUGUGUAGCGGUGGAAUGCGUGGAUAUAUGGAAGGACGCCAGUCGCGAAGGCGACUCUCUGGUCUGCAACUGACGCUGGGGCUCGAGAGAAUGGGUGGCGAACAGG